rnacentral:miRNA from 1 species
UGAUUCUUCUCUUGUCAUCGGA